GACGAACCGUGCGAACGUUGUUCGGAUUCACUGGGCUUAAAGGGCGCGUAGGCGGCUCAGCCAGUCGAGGGUGAAUCUUCCGCUCAACGGGAAAGUGCCUUCGAUACUGCUGGGCUGGAGGGAGAUAGGGCAUGCGGAACUUCCGGUGGAGCGGUGAAUGCGUAGAUAUCGGAAGGAACGCCGGUGGCGAAAGCGGCGUGCUGGAUCUCCACUGAGCUGAGGCGCGAAAGCCAGGGAGCAAACGGG
rnacentral:rRNA from 1 species